ACACUUUUUAAAACUGUAGAAUCAUCAAUUUUUAUUUAAGUUGCAGCUAGCUGCAGCUUAGCAGCACAUCAGCUGUACUUUCUCCUCAGAUAGAAACAUCAGACAGACAGGGUGUGGUGGAAUAGGAGUGAGUGGAGGCUCCGAAUGAAAAACAAGGAACUGUGUUCUACCAAAUUACUCCCGUGAAAUUGGAGAAGGCGCUCCCACAAAAUGGACUAAAGAAAUGGGGUCAACGAUCUCAGCCUGAGCCCCGUGAAUGCGUUCAAAGAGGGGAUGAAGCAAAGAACAAACAAGUGCUGGAAAAGAAACGGACAGGGAGUCUGCUGAGAAGAAAAAAGGAGCUGUGUCCUGUGGCUGGCACCCAGACAGGCUGGUUUGGACUCCCAUUCAUGCAACCAGCCUCCUACCCAUAUCCACAUCACUCCGGUCACUUAAAGAGCUUCAACAAGGCUCCAUCUCCAUCACCACCAGCGUCUAGACUCGAGGUGGGGGUCCUGUCCUAGUUUCUGUUAUUUCAUCAAAAUCUAAUUGCCAUUACUGAAAUGACGUAUCUCAAGAAAUCAUUAUUAAUUAUUUCAAAUGAACUGUCUUAACUGAUCUACCAUUAGUAACAGUAACAUACAAACAUGAAGAUGCGCGUUUGAAUGUCAGCUUGCAACAGAAAUACAGAUUACCUCCUAAUAUUUGGGGAAAAAGACAUGUUUGUUCUCUAAACCUUCCUAUAACUGCUGUACCUACUUCAUGCAUUUAUUACUACCAGGCUGGACUAUUGUAAUUCAUUAUUAUCAGGCUGCCCCAAAAACUCCCUCCAAAAUAUGUCAGCAACAGGGACUAGAAAGAGAGACCAGAUUUCUCCUGCAUUGGCUUCGCUGCAUUGGCUUUCAUUUAAAAUCAUUCUGACAUACAAGGUCUACAAUAACCUGGUUUCAUCUUCUCUUAUAAACCACAUAGUACCACAUCACACCAUCAAAGCACUUUGCUCUCAGAGUGCAGGCUAACUUGUGCUUCCCUGGGUAUUUAAAAGUCGAAUGGGCAGCAGAUUCUGGAGACAGAUAGUCUUUCUACUUUUAGAUGAAAACUUCCCUUUUUGACAAAGAAUAUAGUUAGUGCUAAUCAGGUAAUCCUGAAUCCUCCCUUAGCUACACUGCAAUGGAUCUCUUUUUGCUUCACUCACUUCUUUUGACUUUCUUUUGACUUGUUUAUGCACCAUUCUAGAUUUACUGGCUCUCUUCCACAGAGUAUGUAUAUAUUUUUCCCGUUUCCCUCCUCUCACCCCCAACUGGUCAUA